rnacentral:rRNA from 1 species
AUUGAACGCUAGCGGGAUGCUUUACACAUGCAAGUCGAACGAGUGGAGGACGGGUGAGUAAUAUAUCGGAACGUGCCCAGUAGCGGGGGAUAACUACUAAAAAGAGUGGCUAAUAACGCAUACUGUGAGAGAGGCCGAUAUCGGAUUAGCUAGUUGGUGGGGUAAAGGCUCACCAAGGCACCGAUCCGUAUCUGGUUUGAGCGGAAGACCAGCCACACUGGGACUGAGACACGGCCCAGACUCCUACGGGAGGCAUCAGUGGGGAAUUUUGUACAAUGGGGGAAACCCUGAUCCAGCCAUCCCGCGUGUAUGAGAAGGCCUUCGGGUUGUAAAGUACUUUUGGCAGAGAAGCGGUAUCUGCAGAAUAAGCACCGGCUAACUACGUGCCAGCCGCCGCGGUAAUUC